AACUUAUUCCUCUCCCCAACCUUCUUGUAGGUGCCCUUCAGAUGCCUUCAGCAUCUCUUGUUCCUCCGUGCUGCUCUGGACAGCCAAAGAAAAAGAUGUCCAUCGUCCCUUGGCUGUUAAUGGGAUGGCUUUGGGAGCACUCAUUUCACCGUGACAAGAUGUUCAUAAGUUAGAAAAAGUCUCCUGAUCUGUUGCAGCAUUUGUGGACAUAGUCAGCACUCAUGCACAUGCCGCUGUGUUUGUGGAGCAAUGCACAGUUAUGAAAGCAGAUGCUUCUUUAAAAUAAUAAUAAGGCUUCAAUCAGGCAGUCAAAGGAGAAGUGACUUGACAGUGCUACUGAACAGCCUUUAGGAAUACACAGGUUUUUUAAAAAAAAAUGUUCUUCACGCGACACAGCAGAGCAACCCUGCCUUUGGCCCAGACAGCAGACUUAAUGACCUUCAGUGGGAUUUUCAGAAGUGCCUCAGGUUUGCUAGAAGGACAUUUCUUAUCCUUAAUUACUUGUGCUCCUAAAUUAUUUAGGUGUCUUUGACAAUAUCACCACUAAUCCUAAUGAAGUUGAAGGCAGGCUCUUUAAUAAGCAUAAUGUUGCAGUCUGCACCAUUUGUGUCCCUGGUAGAACUUGUGCUGCUCAGCUGAUGGGAGCUGAUUCAAUCUGUGUAUCUCACCUACCCAGAGAUAAGCAUCCUGAAUGCUCCUGUUUUUCCUUCCGUCAAAAAAUAAGAGACCUAUUUGGUGAACACCCAUCGAUGAAGGAUGUAAAUUGUGGACCUGGACACACAGGCGUGACCUGUAAUGGAGAAGCUAUCAUGUACCUGCUUUGGCUCCCAGUGGAAGAUGAGGAUAGGUUUCUUCCAAUUAUAUGGUCUCUGUUUGGAUUGCUCCUUGCUAAGAUGACCUUGCAUCAGUCCAGUCAGCAGGAAAUUCCUUGUUCCUUCCCCAAGGUAUCCAUUUAGAGACCUGGACGUCAGGUAGGUGUGUAUGACCUUAAUGAAAGUGUGAUCAGGCUGGGAUGCCUCUGUCUUCCAAGGACAGAACUCAGGUCUAGUGUUUUAUUUAGUUUAGCUUCCUAUGAAAUGCGGGCUAGCUCAUGGUGGGGGUGUGUGUAUGCUUGCAGAGCUCUGCCUCUCAGCCCUGCAACUCUGAGCCUCAUUUCGGCAGAAUUUGACAAAAUAGUGGGGAGUUUCAAGGUGUCAGAGUAAAGAAAAUCAACCCUGCUAAUGUUAUCUGAAUGAAAAGACACGACACGUGACUGGGGAAUAGAGAAACUGCACAAGUGAGAGUUGUUACAGAAGCAUCCCUGGGAAGGAACUUCCAAACCGGAGCUGUUAAUCCUCCGUGGUGGAUUGUCCCACACAGCUUUUCCGACGUCUGUAGAAACAACACAGAGAGCUGGUGGAGGCAAGGUGGCUGGUGCCCAUGCUGCCCUCCGUCAGUAGCUAGCAAGUCCUCAGCCUUUUUUGUGGAAUACCCUUUCAGGGUACAUCAGUUGUGUAUCGGCCCAUCAAUACUAGACGUGACUAAGCCGCAUCACUAAACUUUUUAGGAUCUACAGGUAGGGAUAGUAAUGUUAGGUGCCUGAAACCGUCCUCAUAUCUCGUCACCUGAUGAUGGUGUCUCUUCAGGUUGUCAUCUGUCUUAUAGCUUCUUCCACUGGCACUCUCUAGCCCAGUAUGCCUCCAUGAUCCAUGGAAGGAGAUGCUCUAUGUGGCAGCGUGGUUCAUCUGCCCAGUUUCAGCUCCUCAUGAGUAAGCUUAGUGGUACUGUAGCAGUGCCAAGAAACAAUGCCUGCAUGGAGCAGUUGCUUUCCA
rnacentral:lncRNA from 1 species